GGAGACCCCGGCACUGAAGGUUGGACCUGCCUUGUUACAGGAAUUCAGAGGUGGCCGGCCUGGGCAGUGACAUGUAGUGACCAAUGCUUUUUUAUGUGAGGUUAGGCCUGAACAGCUGCAGUGAAUACAACCCUUGCUGGCAGACGGAUUGCAACAUGUUAGGAAAGAGCUGACAGAAUAAAGCUCCCUGGAGAAAAGGUGAGACGACCUUGGACAGGGGCCCACAGGGAUCCCCUCCUCCUGGUGCAAUGGCAGUGGAGCAGUGUGAGCCCCUCAGCUUUUACCCCUGCUGGAGACGGCAGAUGAAAAGCCCCUUGUUCUGAAUGUAUACGGAGCUGCGGCAGGACGGAGAAACAACCCUGAAUGCCAUGAAGGAUCUGGCCAGUGGAGUUCCGUGGUGGCCAGCCGGAUGUCCUCCGUGGCUUGGGAGUCACGUCUGACCAGCAGCCAAUGACUUACUUCAGGCUUCUGGCAGCAGGGCACCAGUCUCAGCGGGCAGCACACUCGGCUUGCUGCACGGGCCCCACUCGGCUUCCCCACAACACCUGCCAACCCCACCCAGCUCUGUCCAGGCAGCUCACGUGGCACGGGCUGUGGGUGUCACCCCGGGCCUGCCAUGACUUUGGACCUGGUCUUGAAUUGCUGCCCAGCGGUCUCCAGCCUCAUUUCAGAAACACACGCAUCACGAGUACUCAACAAAUCGCAGCUUCCCCAACCUCCCAGACCUCUGUUUGCUCAGCUCCUUCGCCCAAAUCUUCCCUGGCAACGUCACCAAGGACGUGGACCAGCACUCCUGGGACUCCAGCUGUUGCUUUCAGGGGAGCCUUGGGGGCCCCACCAGUGCCUGGGCUACAGGGCCAGGGACACAGCUCAGCAGGGGCGGGCCCCAGGGCACUCGGCUGGCGAUGCAUUCGGUGGCGGGGACGGUGGUGGACAGUGCUCUGAGCCAGGGGAAUGCAAGUCAGAGUCUGAAGCACCUCCCUAUAUGAAGGUGACGUUGCUGGCCCUUUACUGUGAACCACGCGCGGGGUGGGGGACCGAAAGGGGGGGCAGUGCUCCUGUCACUUCAGGGACCAUCCCCAGAUCCCCAUGAGCUGGUCAGGCCUUCACCCCAGCCUUCCAGGGGCAGGGGCACAGCUACAGUGGCUCCGAGAGGCGGGACUUACCAAGGCCACCUGCCCAGGGGACUGCUGAGGCUGGGCUGGAGGCUGGUGAGGCGUCGCCAGGCUCAGCUCUUACGCACGGCCCGUCAAGGGCUUUAUGGGGAAAGGCACCCAUCAAGGUGUCCUAGCCGGCUGGGAACCAGGUGGGCCAGCUUCGCAGCACAGGUGGGUCUGGGUGGGGCGGGGGGCUGCAGGACGCAGCACUGGCAGGUGUGAUGUGGCAGGCGUCUGGAAGAGCUGCCCACCCCUCCUUCCCCCCUUUCCUCUUUUC